rnacentral:rRNA from 1 species
UACAGAGGGGGCAAGCGUUAUUCGGAAUUAUUGGGCGUAAAGGGCGCGUAGGCGGCUUGGCAAGUGGAAGGUGAAAUCCCUCGGCUCAACUGAGGAACUGCCUUCCAGACUGCUUUGCUUGAGUCCGGGAGAGGUGAGUGGAAUUCCCAGUGUAGCGGUGAAAUGCGUAGAUAUUGGGAGGAACACCAGUGGCGAAGGCGGUCUGCUGGGCCGUUGCUGACGCUGAGGCGCGACAGCGUGGGGAGCAAACAGG